CUUUGGUGUAGUAAUAUCUGAAAACAAAAUCAAAAGUUUGGGAACUUUUAUAUUUGUCUGGAAACAGAUGAAUUAGAAAUCAGGUAAUACAUUUUAAAUAUUAGCUGCUUUAAAACUGUUUUUUACAUUUUUAAUAAUACAGCUCAGUUUAUUUUGUGCUAUUGAAUGAUACUGCCUGAGGAAUGCAUAUCUGGCAUUUUUGGUUUAACGAAUCCCAAUAGACUAUUGCUAGUCUAAAAAAACCCUAAGUUUUUUUACUUAAUGCACAAAUAACUAUUAGCUAGUGGUCAUUGUCACACCCUGCAGGAGUUUUUAAAACCUCUAAACAUGUUCACACCUCAGGGGAACUUUUGUGAGUGUCUGGUGGAGCUUGACCUUUAAACUGACCAUCCAGAACUUGUUACUUGAUGUUGUUAUGUUGCAGCCAUUCAUUUAUUUUUGUAUAUUUUAUUUUAGUUAUUCAGGAAGGAAACAUAUUACAAUACUGUUUAAUACUAAUACAAAUUUCAGGUGUGUAACAUGGAGUUCCCAGCAUGUGCCCAUGGAUGGACAAACAAGCUGACCGGAGGAGAAGGUCCACUCUGAAACUUAAACAGUAAGGUUAAACAGUAAGGUUUACGCAGCUGUGCCUAAAGGUGAGUCAGGUGGGAGCUGUUAGCAGUAAAGGAGAAUAAGUGGGCUUGACUGAUAAAUUGCUUCCUGAUAAUUGUAAUUGGGUAAUCUUCCAGAUUAUGGGGAUCCCCAGAAAGCCUGUUUUACCAACAACUCUUUUAAAGGAACCCUAUAAGGCAUACAUGUUUAUGUAUAUUAUGUAUAUAUAUUUAUGUAUGCCUUAUGUAUGCCUGGACAUCCAUGUAUUUUACUUUCUGUCAAAUAAGACAAUGUUUAUGAAUAUCAUGAUCUCUAUAUAUGUCUCAUUGGGAAUUUAUGUCUUAAUCCUUGCUCUUCUGCAGAUCUCAACCAUAGAGAUUCCAAAUGGAAUCAGUCAAGGCACCAUUUAAGCUCCACAAUGAAAAUCUGGCACAAGGAAAAUCCCUUGGAGAGCUGUUCACUAUUUGCUGUUCAUGACUCUAACAGCCAUACUACAGAAUAAAAUAAGAGUGGAAGAAGAAAACAAGAUAUCAAUAUGGGACUAUAGCCACCUAUGGGGAAUUUAUUCUACAAAAUCCAUGAAAUGAUGCUUCAGGUCAAUUGCAGCCUGCAUUUGAAAUACAAUCAUUUGAACACAUGAGAUUUCUACAAGAUCUGGAUUCAGAAGUUAAAAACCUCUUUGAAGUCAGUUACAAAAUUCUCAUUAGCUGAUGUUAAAAUAUUCUCAUUAGUAAGAUCAGAAUUAAGGUCAGCAUUGUGCUUAUUAAUAAACACAUUUGUAAUAUCCUUCUCUUCCAUGGGAGAAUAGUUUUCCAUUCAUAUGAGCUUGUUUGUCUGUUUUGUGUGUUUAGACUCCAACUUCUUGAGGACAGAAAUUAGUUUAAGAAUUAUUUAAGAAUAGUUUAAGAGACAGCAGAGUCUCCUAACAAAAGGGACCAUGAUUUCAGUUUGAGCAUCUGGUGUUACCAGAAUGCAAUGUUUUAAUAAUAAUAAUUGCAUGCUAAACAGCUAAGAGGAAAACUACAUGCAGAAAGGCAAUUAACUGCAAUGUGAUAAUAUAGGCUACCACCUACAUUGGCUUUUCAUGGUAAUAGAUGUUGAAAGAGACUGAGCACCUUUGUUAAGUGUUUCAGUGAAGGAACAGUAGCAAAUGUUACAUUGAAUUUAAGAGCUAUUGUUUAAACUUAAGCAAUAUUGACUAAAAUUCUGAAUUCAGCCUAGAAAGUCAUUUAAUUAUAGCUGAGUCUUUAUUCAAAACCUGAGAUGACAUAGCUGACAAUUACAGAUACACAGAUGAUGUAAAGUACCUCUGUGCUUUUUACUUUAUAUGAGGGAAUAGUUACAAAUUUCUGAUGUGGUUGAUGAUACACAGCUGUUAGUGACACACAGAGUGUAUUCACUUUGGGAGAAAAACAAAAAAAAAAAAAGAAAAAAAGAUUCAAUCUAAUUUAUAUGUAUUUGACAGUCUCAAGGCUUUCACAGGUGAUGGUGCUGUUCUGAAUAGAAAUUGGUAAAUAGAACAAAUUGCAUGGCUGCAUACUUUUUUGCAAGGUAGGCCUGAAGUACUAAAGCGAAGAGAGUUUGUUAAUUGCUUUUUUUGUUAAAUUGUUUAAAUUGUUUUUUUUUUAUUUUUUAUUUUUUGCUGUUAAAAUGCAGAUUAAAAUGUCUUGGGUUACAUUAUAGAAAUUAUAAUACUACUGAGAAUAUGUGAAUAUGUUUUACAAAGAGGUAAAGACUAAAUCAGGGGAAAAUGUGUUUUAUUUGGACUGUAUGAAAGAUGGAAGGGCAAAAGAAUUCUGGUCCUCCAAGAAUUUGUUUCAUCUAGGCCUCUGUAACUUUUAAAUUCAAGAGUGUUUUGAUGCUGUUAUUUUCAUAAAAUACAGCAUAAAUCUGAAGCCUUGUAACAGGAAAUAUAUCUAAAAUGUAAAGUCUUAUAAUAGGUUAGAAAAGGAAAAUAGACAAGAAAAUGAUACAUGAUGGACCUGUUGCCAGAAUAUAUAUAUGUAUAAUAGUUCCCUGCAAUGUUCUGUUAUUACUUAUGCCACUCUUGAGACAUGCAGGCUUACUUUUCUUCUUCAUCUGUAUUUUGAACCCCCCUAGCUCCCAUUUACACGAAAGACCUCUAAUGUGAAGUUACAUAACAUUAUGGGGUAGGGGUGGGAAUUUUUCUGUCCUUCAUGAAAACCUAUUUCCUUCUGCACAGAAUAAGUCAGUCCAAGAAUUAUCAAGAACAAGAACGUACCUAUUAGGAUACUCAUGUGGGCAAGGGGGCUUGAAGUUUUUCAAUUUCCUAUUCUGGUGAAUAUUUAAGAUGUUGUUUAUCUGAAUUUCUCCAGAGAAUUCAAGGUUUUAUGUCUCUAGAGGGAGUAUAGACUUUGUACACCUCAGAGUUCUUUUUAAAAGGUGGGUUCUUAAGG